rnacentral:rRNA from 1 species
UGGUGGAGUGAUUUGUCUGGUUAAUUCCGUUAACGAACGAGACCUCGACCUACUAAAUAGUUUCCGCUAUGUCAUUCAUGUACAUAGCCGCUUCGUCAUAGCAAUAUGUCGAGGAUAGUUGAUGAAACUUCUUAGAGGGACUAUCGGUGUGUAGCCGAUGGAAGUUCGAGGCAAUAACA